rnacentral:rRNA from 1 species
UACGUAGGGGGCGAGCGUUGUCCGGAAUUACUGGGCGUAAAGGGAGCGUAGGCGGCCGAUUAAGUUGGAUGUGAAAUCCCCGGGCUUAACUUGGGUGGUGCAUCCAAUACUGGUUGGCUAGAGUACAGGAGAGGAAAGCGGAAUUCCUAGUGUAGCGGUGAAAUGCAUAGAUAUUAGGAGGAACAUCGGUGGCGAAGGCGGCUUUCUGGACUGACACUGACGCUGAGGCUCGAAAGCGUGGGGAGCAAACAGGAUUAGAAACCCUUGUAGUCC